rnacentral:rRNA from 1 species
GGUUAAAAAGCUCGUAGUUGGAUUUCUGCAUGGAAGAAGCGGUCCACCCUUUGGGUGAGUUACUGCUACCUUUUGUGCAUCUUUCUGAGAAGGCGUUCUUCACUUCAUUGUGAGGCCGCAUGACUCAGAACGUUUACUUUGAGGAAAUGAGAGUGUUUCAAGCAGGCAAAUGCCUUGAAUACGUUAGCAUGGAAUAAUAGCAUCGGACCAUCGUCCAGCUGUUGGUGUCUGGGCGAAGGUAAAGGUGAAUAGGGAUUGUUGGGGGCAUUCGUAUUUAACUGUCAGAGGUGAAAUUCUUGGAUUUGUUGAAGACGGACUACUGCGAAAGCAUCUGCCAAAGACGUUCUCAUUGAUCAAGAACGAAAGUUAGGUGAUCGAAGACGAUCAGAUACCGUCCUAGUCU